rnacentral:lncRNA from 1 species
ACAACAAAUAUUCCCUAGCUGUAUAUUGAUAUAUGAAAUAGCUUGUAAUAAAAACAAUGUUGUGUUAAAUAAUAAAAUUAAUGAAGAUACUGCUGACAUUUGUUGAAUUUAAUAAACAGUUAAGUCUUGCACAACAUUGUAAAUGAAGGAACAGCUCAAUAAACUUUUAAAACUGUGUCAAAUUGUAAUAUCGGUCACUGACGCGAAACGGGCGUAAAUUGUGGAAAAGCAGCACAAUACGAAAUUGUGAAUUGUGGUUCCGAUUUUGUACAGGGAUUA